rnacentral:rRNA from 1 species
GAUGAACGCUGGCGGCGUGCCUAAUACAUGCAAGUCGAGCGAACGGACGAGAAGCUUGCUUCUCUGAUGUUAGCGGCGGACGGGUGAGUAACACGUGGAUAACCUACCUAUAAGACUGGGAUAACUUCGGGAAACCGGAGCUAAUACCGGAUAAUAUUUUGAACCGCAUGGUUCAAAAGUGAAAGACGGUCUUGCUGUCACUUAUAGAUGGAUCCGCGCUGCAUUAGCUAGUUGGUAAGGUAACGGCUUACCAAGGCAACGAUGCAUAGCCGACCUGAGAGGGUGAUCGGCCACACUGGAACUGAGACACGGUCCAGACUCCUACGGGAGGCAGCAGUAGGGAAUCUUCCGCAAUGGGCGAAAGCCUGACGGAGCAACGCCGCGUGAGUGAUGAAGGUCUUCGGAUCGUAAAACUCUGUUAUUAGGAAAGAACAUAUGUGUAAGUAACUGUGCACAUCUUGACGGUACCUAAUCAGAAAGCCACCGUUAACUCCGUGCCAGCAGCCGCGGGUAUACGUAAGUGGGACAGCGUUAUCCGGAAAUAUUGGCCCCAAACCCCGCGUAGCGGUUUUUUAGUCUGAUGUGAAAGCCCACGGCUCAACCGUGGAGGGUCAUUGGAAACUGGAAAACUUGAGUGCAGAAGAGGAAAGUGGAAUUCCAUGUGUAGCGGUGAAAUGCGCAGAGAUAUGGAGGAACACCAGUGGCGAAGGCGACUUUCUGGUCUGUAACUGACGCUGAUGUGCGAAAGCGUGGGGAUCAAACAGGAUUAGAUACCCUGGUAGUCCACGCCGUAAACGAUGAGUGCUAAGUGUUAGGGGGUUUCCGCCCCUUAGUGCUGCAGCUAACGCAUUAAGCACUCCGCCUGGGGAGUACGACCGCAAGGUUGAAACUCAAAGGAAUUGACGGGGACCCGCACAAGCGGUGGAGCAUGUGGUUUAAUUCGAAGCAACGCGAAGAACCUUACCAAAUCUUGACAUCCUUUGACAACUCUAGAGAUAGAGCCUUCCCCUUCGGGGGACAAAGUGACAGGUGGUGCAUGGUUGUCGUCAGCUCGUGUCGUGAGAUGUUGGGUUAAGUCCCGCAACGAGCGCAACCCUUAAGCUUAGUUGCCAUCAUUAAGUUGGGCACUCUAAGUUGACUGCCGGUGACAAACCGGAGGAAGGUGGGGAUGACGUCAAAUCAUCAUGCCCCUUAUGAUUUGGGCUACACACGUGCUACAAUGGACAAUACAAAGGGCAGCGAAACCGCGAGGUCAAGCAAAUCCCAUAAAGUUGUUCUCAGUUCGGAUUGUAGUCUGCAACUCGACUACAUGAAGCUGGAAUCGCUAGUAAUCGUAGAUCAGCAUGCUACGGUGAAUACGUUCCCGGGUCU